AUUGAACGCUGGCGGCAGGCCUAACACAUGCAAGUCGAACGGUAACAGGAAGAAGCUUGCUUCUUUGCUGACGAGUGGCGGACGGGUGAGUAAUGUCUGGGAAACUGCCUGAUGGAGGGGGAUAACUACUGGAAACGGUAGCUAAUACCGCAUAACGUCGCAAGCCCAAAGAGGGGGACCUUCGGGCCUCUUGCCAUCGGAUGUGCCCAGAUGGGAUUCGCUAGUAGGUGGGGUAACGGCUCACCUAGGCGACGAUCCCUAGCUGGUCUGAGAGGAUGACCAGCCACACUGGAACUGAGACACGGUCCAGACUCCUACGGGAGGCAGCAGUGGGGAAUAUUGCACAAUGGGCGCAAGCCUGAUGCAGCCAUGCCGCGUGUAUGAAGAAGGCCUUCGGGUUGUAAAGUACUUUCAGCGGGGAGGAAGGGAGUAAAGUUAAUACCUUGGCUCAUUGACGUUACCCGCAGAAGAAGCACCGGCUAACUCCGUG
rnacentral:rRNA from 1 species